ensembl:lncRNA
AGUGGUUAGAGCGUAGGGGUGGCAGGUAGCCUAGUGGUUAGAGUGUAGGGGCGGCAGGUAGCCUAGUGGUUAGAGUGUAGGGGCGGCAGGUAGCCUAGUGGUUAGAGUGUUGGGGCGGCAGGUAGCCUAGUGGUUAGAGUGUAGGGGCGGCAGGUAGCCUAGUGGUUAGAGUGUAGGUAGCCUAGUGGUUAGAGCGUAGGGGUGGCAGGUAGCCUAGUGGUUAGAGUGUUGGGGCGGCAGGUAGCCUAGUGGUUAGAGUGUAGGGGCGGCAGGUAGCCUAGUGGUUAGAGUGUAGGGAGGCAGGUAGCCUAGUGGUUAGAGUGUAGGUAGCCUAAUGGUUAGAGUGUAGGGGCGGCAGGUAGCCU